rnacentral:lncRNA from 1 species
UUUUGUAAUUAUGGUUUGAGUGGGAAUGAAAUGAUGAGUGUGAAAGGUAGAGGAGAUGAAGAGAGGAAGAGAAAUAGGGUAGGUGAAGUAGGUGGCAUGGGGUACAAAAUGAAAUCUGCAAUGAACACAACACAAAAAUUGAGGAUGACACUGUUUCAAUCUUCAUGGAUAUGGCCCUUCUUCCUUUUUCUCCUUUGCUUUAUGUCUUCUGAACACAACAUCGUACGCAGCAGCUGCUCCUGCACCACCCACCCACCAGACACCAUUGUUCUUGUCCGUUUUACUGUUUUAACUUCUUCGUCAUGUAAUCAUUCAUUCUCCCACAAAUAUUUUAUCAUUUCUAUAUCCCUUUUAAGCGAUAAAAUAUAUGAAUG